CGCACAGGGGUCUUGUGUGAUUGUUGGUUGUUUGGGGAUUUAGCCCCUGCUCCUUUUUCCCUUUUGUGGUCAUGAGUCUUUUGAGGACAAUUUAUUCUCCUUGGAUGUUUACCAACUUUGUUGUC